rnacentral:rRNA from 1 species
GAAAGUAAGCAAGGGCGCAUGGCGGAUGCCUUGGCUCUCGGAGGCGAUGAAGGACGUGAUAAGCUGCGAUAAGCUUCGGGUAGGUGCAAAUAACCUUUGAUCCGAAGAUUUCCGAAUGGGACAACCCGACAUUCUGAAGGAAUGUCAUCCUGCUUGGCAGGAGGCUAACGCAGGGAACUGAAACAUCUUAGUACCUGUAGGAAAAGAAAAUAAUAAUGAUUCCCCAAGUAGUGGCGAGCGAACGGGGAUUAGCCCAAACCAAUGUUGUUACGGCAAUAUUGGGGUUGUAGGACCACGUUGUCGCAAGACAUUCAGUGAGAAGAAUUCUUUGGAAAAUGAAACCAUAGACGGUGAUAGUCCGGUAUUCGAAGCUGAACGAAGCGUAGUGGUAUCCUGAGUAGCGCGGGACACGAGGAAUCUUGCGUGAACCAGCCGGGACCAUCCGGUAAGGCUAAAUACUCCCGAGAGACCGAUAGCGAACCAGUACUGUGAAGGAAAGGUGAAAAGCACUUCGAAUAGAAGAGUGAAAUAGUCCCUGAAACCAUGCGCCUACAAGCGGUCGGAGCAGCUUAUGCUGUGACGGCGUGCCUUUUGCAUAAUGAACCUACGAGUUACUUUUUCCGGCAAGGUUAAGGAUCUAGAGAUCCGUAGCCGAAGCGAAAGCGAGUCUGAACAGGGCGAUAAGUCGGAAGGAGUAGACGCGAAACCAAGUGAUCUACCCUUGGCCAGGUUGAAGGUUAGGUAACACUAACUGGAGGACCGAACCGAUAAGCGUUGAAAAGCUUCCGGAUGAGCUGAGGGUGGGGGUGAAAGGCUAAUCAAACUUGGAGAUAGCUCGUACUCCCCGAAAUGCAUUUAGGUGCAGCCUUGUGAGUUACUAAUGUGAGGUAGAGCGACUGAUAAGAUGCGAGGGCUUCACCGCCUAUCAAGUCUUGAUAAACUCCGAAUGCGCAUUAGUUCUAUCACAGGAGUGAGGGCAUGGGUGCUAAGGUCCAUGUCCUAAAGGAGAAGAAUCCAGACCAUCAGCUAAGGUCCCGAAAUAACAGCUAAGUUGAACUAACGAAGUCAGAUUGCUAAGACAGCUAGGAUGUUGGCUUGGAAGCAGCCAUUCAUUUAAAGAGUGCGUAACAGCUCACUAGUCGAGGAGUUUGGCGUGGAUAAUAAUCGGGCAUUAAGCAAUUUACCGAAGCUAUGGGAUCAGUAAUGAUCGGUAGGGGAGCAUUCCACUCUGCGUCGAAGGUGAAGCGUGAGCUUUGCUGGAGCGUGUGGAAAAGCAAAUGUAGGUAUAAGUAACGAUAAAGGGGGUGAGAAACCCCCUCGCCGAAAGACUAAGGUUUCCUGAUCAACGCUAAUCGGAUCAGGGUUAGUCGGGUCCUAAGGCUCAGCCGAACGGUGAGGCCGAUGGCAGAACAGGUUAAUAUUCCUGUACUACCUUAAGGAGUGACGUGGAGACGGAGUCGUGACAACGCCGCGGACUGACGGAAUAGUCCGUUGAAGGGUGUAGAUGUUGAUUGUGGCAGGCAAAUCCACCACGAGAGUCGAACCUGAUAGUAUACCAAUUCCUUCGGGAAACGGUAAUAGUGCGUGUAAACAUACUCCCGAGAAAAUCCGCUAAACUUAAUCCUUGAGGUACCCGUACCGCAAACGGACACACGUAGUCGGGUUGAAUAUACUAAGGCGCUUGAGUGAUUCACGGUUAAGGAACUAGGCAAAUUGACCCUGUAACUUCGGGAUAAAGGGUCCCAACGAGAGUUGGGCGCAGAGAAUAGGUCCAGGCAACUGUUUAACAAAAACACAGGGCUGUGCCAAAUUGAAAGAUCACGUAUACAGCCUGACACCUGCCCGGUGCUGGAAGGUUAAGAGGAGAUGUCAUCGCAAGAGAAGCAUUGAAUUGAAGCCCCAGUAAACGGCGGCCGUAACUAUAACGGUCCUAAGGUAGCGAAAUUCCUUGUCGGGUAAGUUCCGACCUGCACGAAUGGUGUAAUGAUCUGGACACUGUCUCAACCGUGAGCUCAGUGAAAUUGUAGUAUCGGUGAAGAUGCCGAUUACCCGCGAUGGGACGAAAAGACCCCGUGAACCUUUACUAUAGCUUAACAUUGAAUUUGGGUAAUUGAUGUGUAGGAUAGGCCGGAGACUUUGAAGCGCAGACGCCAGUUUGUGUGGAGUCGCUGUUGAAAUACGGCCCUUUGAUUAUUUGAGUUCUAACCCGUUGUAACGGGGACACUGUUUGGUGGGUAGUUUGACUGGGG